CUAGCGGCUGACGACGUUAAAGCAGCUGCAGCUAGCUUUAUCGCGCCAUCAUUUGCGACGAAUAAAAUCGGAGCGCAGUUUUCAUUUUUUGUUUUUUAAUAAUAUCUGUUGUUAACGCAGCUGUCGCGUAGUUAAGUCGCCUUAAGCGCAUAAUUUAACAAGUGCGGUUGUUAAGUGUUUCAUUUGUUUUCUUCUAUAACUGCGUUUUUUCGUUUGCUUUGCCCUUCGUACGCGUUUCGAUGGCCUGUGUGCAUUGCGCUCGCUCUCUCCUUCCAUGCCUUGGAUCGCCAUAUUGCCGGUGAGAGCCUAGUAGCCAUCAAAAAGCAACGAAAUCAGAGAGAGAGAGAGAGAGAGAGAGCCAAGCUGUUCGAGUGCCAUCUUGUUUUUUUUUUUUACAUUUUUUUUAUUGUGCAAUUCAAAGUGCAUUUCUCUUACAGCAGAUCAGCGCACAUGAAAUCAAUGGAAGCGCUUUCGAAGAUGGCAUGGAAAGCACUUUAUUUCGUGAACCUUAUAUUUGUAGAAUAAACACCUGCUCUCUGACGUCGUUCGCUAUAUGUUGAUAACGAUAAAAUAAUCGGGCCUGUGGAUUUACUACAAGAAGAUAAUGACGCACACAUCGUGCGUGUGGACUUGCGGAACUGGAAGCUGACUUAAACGAAGUUUGGUUCGAUUGACAUUCAUAGAUCAAAACAGAAUGUUUGCGCGAGUUGAGCAGGAAGGACAAACUGGCCGCAGGAUAGGGACUCCAGCAGAAACACGCUAAGCCCGAGCUCUGGGCAUAGGUCAAGCCUGACUGGACUUACCCAAAAGAUUUCACUUUAAGCGCUGGUGCGUGUCUAAGCUGUGUUCGAAGCGUUGGUGCGUGUCUAUGCUUAAGCUAAUUGCACAAUGGACGUACGAAAUUGCAAUGGAACAGAAAUAACAAGAGCAGCAACAGGCCGUAGCCACAUGCCACUUGCAAGGCCUCAAGGAUGCUUCAAACUCUGGCCACACCUACAGUCUUUGCUGUUUGCAGGCCGACAAAAACUAAGCUGCAAUAUUUAAAAAUAUUCAACAAACGUUCGAUAACUAAGUGCACAGAGCUUAAAAUCAAUUCAAGUUUUUGAUCAAAUUGAAUUGCCAAAGA